GACAACACUCAGUUCAUUGUUAUUAUCAGUUAAUAAUUGCCUGGGAAUCUUAGUGUCCUGGUCUUGGUUAGAACUCCAGAAUAAAGGUUAAAUUCCUCGUCUUUAGGCCCCAGCAAGGAACAUGGACGGAUUCAUCUGAGCUGCCCGGAAGCAGAGUCAGCAUCAUGGGCUAUUCCAGAGGGAAAAGGUCAUAGUAUGGAAGACCACAGGAAGAGAUACACAAGCAUUGAGUAUCACAGGAGACUAAAAUCUUUGUGACGAUAAGGACCGUGUCUGCUUUGUUAAAAUCAUACUCAUUGAUGCCCACCUACCAACAGAGCCCUUCAGCCAUUAUGCAAGCUGCUUACUGAAUGUCGAAUGUCUGGGGCCAGAUGAACCGUCUUCAGUGACAGGACACAGAGAAACCACGCUGGAACUGGGCCGGAAGCUUCCUCCUUGCUGGUUGGUUUUCACCAUGUUGGAAGUGCUUUACGUGCUCCUGGCGGAGAGAAGUCACCAACAGCCGCAGCCAACCGGAGACCCCGAGUGUUACGUCACUGACUUUCUGUGCCCAUAUGUGCAUUAGGGGCUGUGGCGAGGUAGUCAGCAGCUUUUUGAUUGGAUCGGCACCCACUCCGAAGGAGGGCUGCUACCCAGGGUGCAUCACAGAACAGCCACACUCCACAUACAAACCGCUUUUCCCACGUGGCAGAAAUUGUACCCACGGAGGCUCAGCUGUCAGGCUGUUUCCGUGUCUCACCGCACAUUGUGGACUGUAGCGUUGUGAUUUGUCAACUGACUAUCGGAGCUCCCCGAAAGGACAAAGCGAAGCUAGUGGACUGCUUUAGGAUCGUGCCGCUCAUUCUGGUGGUGGGCUAUCUGACUUUUGGGGGAAGUUAGAGAGAAAUUGUUGGGAGUAGGAAGCAGGUUUUGAAGUUAUAAUGUAGGUUAAUGACGAGUGCUACCACUAGAGGGAGGGCUAGCAUUAAUUUCCAACAUUUAUUAGACAAUUGAGAGUGUGUGUGAAAGGCAAAAAUAUGAAACCAUCAUACACAUGGAGGAAUCUCAACAUGUUGUAAUAUCAGAAUUUCCGAGAAAGGCAUUAAUAAAGCCCAAAUUUCCAAACUGA